CCUACGGGGGGCAGCAGUGAGGAAUAUUGGUCAAUGGGCGGGAGCCUGAACCAGCCAAGUCGCGUGAGGGACGACGGUCCUAUGGAUUGUAAACCUCUUUUGUCGGGGAACAAAGGCGUCCACGGGUGGGCGGAUGAGUGUACCCGAAGAAAAAGCAUCGGCUAACUCCGUGCCAGCAGCCGCGGUAAUACGGAGGAUGCGAGCGUUAUCCGGAUUUAUUGGGUUUAAAGGGUGCGUAGGCGGGCAUUUAAGCCGGCGGUCAAAUGUCGGGGCUCAACCCCGGCCUGCCGUCGGAACUGGGUGCC
rnacentral:rRNA from 1 species